UACGAAGGGGGCUAGCGUUGUUCGGAAUUACUGGGCGUAAAGCGCGCGCAGGCGGCUAUCCAAGUCAGUGGUGAAAGCCCAGAGCUCAACUCUGGAAUUGCCUUUUAGACUGCAUCGCUUGAAUCAUGGAGAGGUCAGCGGAAUUCCGAGUGUAGAGGUGAAAUUCGUAGAUAUUCGGAAGAACACCAGUGGCGAAGGCGGCUGACUGGACAUGUAUUGACGCUGAUGCGCGAAAGCGUGGGGAGCAAACAGG
rnacentral:rRNA from 1 species